AGCCUUGAUAUUUCCUACACCAGGAGCCUCCAACCCAUCCUCUACAGAGCUCACCGUGUGUGAGAGAUCCAAAUAAAACACAAACUGGACCCGGUCAUAACUUUGCUUGAAAACUUCCACCUAGAAGAUAAAGUCAGACGCACCCCCUUGACGUGCAGACCCUUCACCUCUGAUCCUUGCCCACACUUCCUGUUUGGUCUCCGGCACUCAUUUUGCGUCAUGUCCUGUCUAUACAGCCUUCAAAGCGUGUCACCUACCUGCCCUUCCAGCCUGCUUCACCGUCAAACGGGGACACCAUUAGCCCAGCAUUUCCCACCUUCGAUAACCUUCUGUGUAGGUAGUCUGGGGUGCUGAAUUUCCACAGAGGAGAGCUGCCUAGCCAACAGCGAGUAUGGCCAUCGUUGGAGCAGGAGCCCUUGAAUGAGCCCCAGCUGACCAGUUCCAGCCACUGGGAAUGCUUACCGUAUGGCGGUGACUGUCAAAAGCACGUUAGAUGCAUUAGCUUGCUUAUUCUUCACCAACAGCCCUUGGGAGAAGGAAGAGGGAGAGAGAGAACUCAUGUCAGAGUGAGGAGGAGAAAGACCCACCAGCCAUUCUUGGUGCUGAAGGUGGGUGAAGAGGACAUGAGCCAAGACCUGCAGGCUGCCUCUAGAAUCUGGAAAAGCUCCCUUGAGCCCCUGGAAAGGUUUACAGUCCUGCCGAUGUUCUGAUUUUAAACCAGUAAUACUCAUUUUGGACUUCAGACUUCCUGAACUGUAGGCAAUAAAA